CCCCGCCCCUGCGCCGUGGCGAUUGGCUGCGGUGAGCGGAGGCCGCUCGCUCAUUGGCUGAGCACCAUCGGCGCGGAGGGGCCCGGCGGCGGCAUGGUUCGCUUCAAGAACAGGUACGUGCUGUGCGAGGUGCUCUCGGAGGACCCGCGGUGCCGGCAGUGCAUCGAGGACCGCGCGGUGGGCCUCGCCGUCAGGGACGCCGUCGCGCGGGCGCACGGGGACUACGGGCUGGGCUGCUGCUGCGUGUCCUUCACAGUGAAGUACCUGAACGCGUACACCGGCACCGUGCUGCUGCGCUGCCGCAAGGACUUCCAGCGCCUGCUGAGCUCGGCGCUGCCGCUCGUCCGGCACCUGGAGAGCCGCGGGCAGCGCUUCCCCUGCGCGCUGCGCACGCUGCACGUGGGCGGUACCAUCAGAACCUGUCAGAAGUUUCUCAUCCAGUAUAACAGAAGGCAGCUGCUGCUGCUGCUGCAGAAGUGUACGAGUGAAGAGGAGAAGCGCAGCGUGCGGCAGGCGGUGCUGAGCUGCUCCCUCACAGAAGAGCAGGCGCAGAGCGGGGAGGAGGAGGAGGAGGAUGGCACAGAGACAGACUGAGCAGCACUUGUUCGCCUUUGUUCUGGACCUGGCUAUCAUCAAAGCGAUACCAAGUAUCCUCCUGUGUUAAGUAAAGCAAGUAAAGGUUUCUUGCCUCUUUUAUUCCAGGAUUCAAACCUUUGACUGCUCCAAAGGAGCGAAGCUCAAUGUGAUCUUUGUGCUGAGGUAGAAGUGAGCUUCAGCCAGUUGGUAUGGGAAAGAAAUGUAGUUAAGCUCCCUCGGUACAGACAGCAAUAACUUUAGUUUUUGCCCUUAUCUUCCAGUGCAGCUGUUCUUGAAAGGGUUGUCUGGUGUUUCAAGUCACAAAAGCACUGAUUGUCUACAGGAGCAUGGACUACAGGGAACACAAGUUACAGGAAAGUAGCACUGCUGCUCACAUCUCUUGAAUCCAUUGGAAAACAAAACACAACUUGAAGAUCUGCCCAAUGGAGGCUGCCCCUGCACGCAGGAGAGCCUUCUUUG